rnacentral:lncRNA from 1 species
ACCAGAUUCGCGCCCUCCCCUGAGUUCUGGCCAGGAGGCUUCUCGCCUGUUCAAAUUGCUAGGCUUGGCUCUCUCACUUGACUCAACUCCAGUGAGAAGACAGCCAUCUGCAUGUCAAGAAGAGGACCUCACCAGAAACUGAGUUGGCUGAAACUUUGAUCUUGAACUUCCCAGCCUCAAGACCUGUACUUCUGUCCUCUGUGGUGGAGAAUAAAGGGAAGCCAGGAAGUGUGGGUCAGGAUCUCUGGGAAACUGCUGGCUUCUAGCAAGGCUGGCACGGGUGUGUUCCCAUGGAAGGAAAGAACCAAAGGUGCUGCUUACCCUUGGAACUCAGCUGCUAUUUUGUAAGGAAGUCCAUGCCUCUGCUAGAUCUGCAGCCAAUAGCCAGCCUCACCACCAGAUGUGUAAAUGAGCCUCAGAUGAUGCCAGCCUCACCCUUCGAGUCUUCCAGUUGAGGCCCCAUUGUGCAGAAGACAUAAGGCAUUCCCACAUGCCCUGUCUGAACUUCUG